UCGCGAAAUGGUUGGAGCUAAUUAUGUAUAGUUUAUAGACUAAACACAGUGUGUAGCAUAAUACUGGAAAAAGAUAUAAUUAGGUGUGACAGGCUUUUCAAAGACCAAGAUAUCUUGAUAGCGCUUAAACGUAUGUAGUACGUCAGACAAAUGAAAAGUGUUGAGGCUUUUUAUAAUUUCAAAAUUGAUUUCAUGGGUUUAUUGGUUUAAUCAUCUUUUAUUUAAGAUAAUAGUAUUAAUUUUCCUUUAUUUGACAUAAAUACGUGCUUCUAUAAAUAAUUAAGGUGUAUAGUAAUAAUGUUUCCAUAAGUAUUAAAUUAAGACGUUUAUAAUGAACUCGGCAAUAAAUAUUCUCAACUGUUUAUCAAAAACAUAGCUGUAUGGGAUUAUAUAUAUAGUUAUUUCUGCUCAAUGUAAUAUAAAUGGCCGCAGUACUCUGACUGUGCAAAGGUAGCAUAAUCAAUUGGCUUAUAAUUGAAGUCUAGUAUGAAUGAAAAUAUGGGGAUAGACUAUAUUAAAGACGUUCUUUUAAAAUUACUGAAUAAGUGAAAAGACUUAUACUUAAAUAAUAGACGAGAAGACCCUAGAAAUUUUGAGCAACCAAUAAUAAUAUGUAGGUUUUUGUUGGGGCGACACAGUAGCAUAACUAACCUACUAAGAUUAAUAUGAUUAUUAUAUUAGGAAUAAUUAAAUUACUCUAGGGAUAACAGCAUAAUAUUCAAAAGUUUGUGACCUCGAUGUUGGACUAGGAUACUACCACCCAGAAGGUUUUUAGUAAGGCUCUGUUCGAGCAAUUUAUUCCUACAUGAUCUGAGUUCAGACCGGCGUAAGCCAGGUCAGUUUCU
rnacentral:rRNA from 1 species